AACCGUCCUUAUCUUGGGGUUGCGCGGCCGCUCGAUGAACGCGUGGUGAGAGCGGCACUGCUAACGCCUGAGCAACACACCGAGCGCCCGCGUGCGCGCGCGGCGCAAUUUUUGGAACCUCG
rnacentral:ncRNA from 1 species